rnacentral:rRNA from 1 species
AUUGAACGCUGGCGGCAGGCCUAACACAUGCAAGUCGAGCGAGCGGCGGACGGGUGUGUAAUGUCUGGGAAACUGCCUGUUGGAGGGGGAUAACAACUGGAAACAGUAUCUAUUAUCGCAUAUAACCUGAUGUGCCCAGAUGGGAUUAGCUAGUAGGUGGGGGAACGGCUCACCUCGGCGACCAUCCCUAGCUGGUCUGAGAGGAUGACCAGCCACACUGGAAAUGAGACACGGUCCAGACUCCUACGGGAGGCAGCAGUGGGGAAUAUGGCACAAUGGGCGCAAGCCUGAUGCAGCCAUGCCGCGGGUGUGAAGAAGGCCUUCGGGUUGUAAAGCACUUUCAGCGAGGAGGCGUUACCCGCAGAAGAAGCACCGGCUAACUCCGUGCCAGCAGGCGCGGUAAUAC